AUACGGAGGGUGCAAGCGUUAUCCGGAUUUAUUUGGUUUAAAGGGUCCGUAGGCGGACUCGUAAGUCAGAGGUGAAAUCUCACAGCUUAACUGUGAAACUGCCAUUGAUACUGCGGGUCUUGAGUGUUGUUGAAGUAGCUGGAAUAAGUAGUGUAGCGGUGAAAUGCAUAGAUAUUACUUAGAACACCAAUUGCGAAGGCAGGUUACUAAGCAACAACUGACGCUGAUGGACGAAAGCGUGGGGAGCGAACAGGAUUAGAUACCCUGGUAGUCCACGCCGUAAACGAUGCUAACUCGUUUUUGGGCUUUAGGGUUCAGAGACUAAGCGAAAGUGAUAAGUUAGCCACCUGGGGAGUACGUUCGCAAGAAUGAA
rnacentral:rRNA from 1 species